UACGGAGGGGGCUAGCGUUGUUCGGAAUUACUGGGCGUAAAGCGCACGUAGGCGGGCUGCUAAGUCAGGGGUGAAAUCCUGAGGCUCAACCUCAGAAUUGCCUUUGAUACUGGCGGCCUUGAGUGCGGGAGAGGUGAGUGGAAUUCCCAGUGUAGAGGUGAAAUUCGUAGAUAUUGGGAAGAACACCAGUGGCGAAGGCGGCUCACUGGCCCGCAACUGACGCUGAGGUGCGAAAGCGUGGGGAGCAAACAGG
rnacentral:misc_RNA from 1 species